GGGUUGUGAGGUUAAGCGACUAAGCGUACACGGUGGAUGCCCUGGCAGUCAGAGGCGAUGAAGGGCGUGCUAAUCUGCGAUAAGCGCCGGUAAGGUGAUAUGAACCGUUAUAACCGGCGAUACCCGAAUGGGGAAACCCAGUGUGUUUCGACACACUAUCAUUAACUGAAUCCAUAGGUUAAUGAGGCGAACCGGGGGAACUGAAACAUCUAAGUACCCCGAGGAAAAGAAAUCAACCGAGAUUCCCCCAGUAGCGGCGAGCGAACGGGGAGGAGCCCAGAGCCUGAAUCAGCAUGUGUGUUAGUGGAAGCGUCUGGAAAGGCGCGCGAUACAGGGUGACAGCCCCGUACACAAAAGCGCAUGUGCUGUGAGCUCGAUGAGUAGGGCGGGACACGUGGUAUCCUGUCUGAAUAUGGGGGGACCAUCCUCCAAGGCUAAAUACUCCUGACUGACCGAUAGUGAACCAGUACCGUGAGGGAAAGGCGAAAAGAACCCCGGCGAGGGGAGUGAAAAAGAACCUGAAACCGUGUACGUACAAGCAGUGGGAGC
rnacentral:rRNA from 4 species